rnacentral:rRNA from 1 species
AACGAACGCUGGCGGCAUGCCUAACACAUGCCAGUCGAACGAGACCUUCGGGUCUAGUGGCGCACGGGUGCGUAACGCGUGGGAACCUGCCCUUAGGUUCGGAAUAACUCCCCGAAAGGGGUGCUAAUACCGGAUAAUGUCUUCGGACCAAAGAUUUAUCGCCUUUGGAUGGGCCCGCGUUGGAUUAGCUAGUUGGUAGGGUAAAAGCCUACCAAGGCGACGAUCCAUAGCUGGUCUGAGAGGAUGAUCAGCCACACUGGGACUGAGACACGGCCCAGACUCCUACGGGAGGCAGCAGUGGGGAAUAUUGGACAAUGGGCGAAAGCCUUAUCCAGCAAUGCCGCGUGAGUGAUGAAGGCCUUAGGGUUGUAAAGCUCUUUUACCCGGGAUGAUAAUGACAGUACCGGGAGAAUAAGCUCCGGCUAACUCCGUG